GAACCGCGUGAAGGAUCAUUAACGAGAGGGGUUUUCGGACCCCGGGGCUUCGGCCCCUAACUCUUCACCCUCUGUUUACGUACCAUUGUUGCUUUGGCGGGCCCUGGGCUUCGCCCCUGGCCGGCCGGUGGCUUAGCGGCCCCGGCUCGCUCGUGCCCGCCAGAGGCCCAUUAAACCCAACCUUAUCCUUGAUGUCCGAGCAAAAACACAAUCGUAAAAACUUUCAACAACGGAUCUCUUGGUUCUGGCAUCGAUGAAGAACGCAGCGAAAUGCGAUAAGUAAUGUGAAUUGCAGAAUUCAGUGAAUCAUCGAAUCUUUGAACGCACAUUGCGCCCCUCGGUAUUCCGGGGGGCAUGCCUGUUCGAGCGUCAUUACACCCCUCAAGCUUCGCUUGGUAUUGGGUCAUCGCCCUUCGGGGCGAGCCCGAAAGUCAGUGGCGGCCCGGCGUGACUUCGAGCGUAGUAAUCUUUCUCCCGCUCUGGAAGCUCGCGCCGUGACCGGUCAGAACGCCCAAACUUCAAAUGAUUGACCUCGGAUCAGGUAGGGAUACCCGCUGAACUUAA
rnacentral:rRNA from 1 species